rnacentral:tRNA from 1 species
AAAAAGUUAGUAUAAAUAGUACGUUCCGUUUACACUGGAGAGGUGCAAAGAGCGCUUUUUA